GCUGAAGUAGGUCCCAAGGGUAUGGCUGUUCGCCAUUUAAAGUGGUACGCGAGCUGGGUUUAGAACGUCGUGAGACAGUUCGGUCCCUAUCUGCCGUGGGCGCUGGAGAAUUGAGGGGGGCUGCUCCUAGUACGAGAGGACCGGAGUGGACGCAUCACUGGUGUUCGGGUUGUCAUGCCAAUGGCACUGCCCGGUAGCUAAAUGCGGAAGAGAUAAGUGCUGAAAGCAUCUAAGCACGAAACUUGCCCCGAGAUGAGUUCUCCCUGACUCCUUGAGAGUCCUGAAGGAACGUUGAAGACGACGACGUUGAUAGGCCGGGUGUGUAAGCGCAGCGAUGCGUUGAGCUAACCGGUACUAAUGAACCGUGAGGCUUAACCUUACAACGCCGAAG
rnacentral:rRNA from 1 species